AUAGCAAUUUUGCGUAAUCUGAUAUUGAGAUUGAAACACAUGAAA
rnacentral:sRNA from 1 species